AUGAACGCUGGCGGCGUGCCUAAUACAUGCAAGUCGAGCGAACGGACGAGAAGCUUGCUUCUCUGAUGUUAGCGGCGGACGGGUGAGUAACACGUGGAUAACCUACCUAUAAGACUGGGAUAACUUCGGGAAACCGGAGCUAAUACCGGAUAAUAUUUUGAACCGCAUGGUUCAAAAGUGAAAGACGGUCUUGCUGUCACUUAUAGAUGGAUCCGCGCUGCAUUAGCUAGUUGGUAAGGUAACGGCUUACCAAGGCAACGAUGCAUAGCCGACCUGAGAGGGGAAUGGCCCCACCGGAAACUGGAACCGGUCCCGACUCCCUAGGGAGGCAGCAGGAGGGAAUUCUUCCGAAUUGGGCGAAAGCCGAAGGAGGAACGGCGGGUGGGGGAAGAAGGUCCUCGGGUCGGUAAACUCUUUUUAUAGGGAAAAAAAUAUGGUGAAGUUACUGUUGACCACUUGAAGGGAACUUAACAAGAAGGCACGGCUAACUACGUG
rnacentral:rRNA from 1 species